rnacentral:rRNA from 1 species
UACGUAGGGUGCGAGCGUUAAUCGGAAUUACUGGGCGUAAAGCGUGCGCAGGCGGUGAUGUAAGACCGAUGUGAAAUCCCCGGGCUUAACCUGGGAACUGCAUUGGUGACUGCACUCGCUCGAGUAUGGCAGAGGGGGGGUAGAAUUCCACGUGUAGCAGUGAAAUGCGUAGAGAUGUGGAGGAAUACCGAUGGCGAAGGCAGCCCCCUGGGUCAAUACUGACGCUCAUGCACGAAAGCGUGGGGAGCAAACAGG